GGUUGCCUAGUGAUAGAGCAUCUGCCUCAGAAGCAGAUGGUAAUGGGUUUGAACCCCAGCAGAGUCA